rnacentral:rRNA from 1 species
UAAAGUGGCGCACGGGUGAGUAACACGUGACUAACCUACCUCCGAGUGGGGAAUAACCUAGGGAAACCUGGGCUAAUACCGCAUAACACUUACGAGUCAAAGCAGCAAUGCGCUUGGAGAGGGGGUCGCGGCAGAUUAGCUAGUUGGUGGGGUAAUGGCCCACCAAGGCAAUGAUCUGUAUCCGGCCUGAGAGGGCGCACGGACACACUGGAACUGAAACACGGUCCAG